rfam:Gossypium arboreum cultivar AKA8401 contig_59231_1, whole genome shotgun sequence.
UGUUAAAAAAUUCAUCUAUUUUUAUCAUUAAAAACAAGUGUGAGUAACAAAAUAAUGAAACAAUUACACGUAGCAUGUCAUGCAUACCUCAUUCUGAUGUAUAAAAAUUAGUUUUUAACAAUAGAAAUAGAUAGAAUUUUUAACA